GAUGAACGCUAGCGGCAGGCUUAAUACAUGCAAGUCGAGGGGCAGCAGGACUGUAGCAAUACAGUUGCUGGCGACCGGCAAACGGGUGCGGAACACGUACGCAACCUACCCAAAACUGGGGGAUAGCCCGGGGAAACCCGGAUUAAUACCUCGUAACCUUUUUAAGUGGCAUCACUUGAUAAGUAUAGCUCCGGCGGUUUUGGAUGGGCGUGCGCCUGAUUAGGUAGUUGGUGCGGGUAACGGCCCACCAAGCCUGCGAUCAGUAACUGGUGUGAGAGCACGACCAGUCACACGGGCACGGAGACACGGGCCCGACUCCUACGGGAGGCAGCAGUAAGGAAUAUUGGUCAAUGGACGCAAGUCUGAACCAGCCAUGCCGCGUGAAGGAUGAAGGUCCUCUGGAUUGUAAACUUCUUUUAUGGGGGACGAAACCCGGAUAUUCUUAUCCGAUUGACGGUACCUCAGGAAUAAGCACCGGCUAACUCCGUG
rnacentral:rRNA from 1 species